rnacentral:rRNA from 1 species
GACGGGGGAUGCAAGCGUUAUCCGGAAUCACUGGGCGUAAAGCGUCCGUAGGCGGUGAUGCAAGUCACUGGUGCAAAACUCUGGCUCAACCGGAGGAAAGCCAGUGAAACUGCAUGACUAGAGUGUGGGAGAGGUAGAAGGAAUUCCCUGAGUAGCGGUGAAAUGCGUAGAUAUAGGGAAGAACACCUGAGGCGGAAGCGUGCAACUGGGCCACAACUGACACUGAGGUACGAAAGCUAGGGGAGCGAAUGGG